CACGAGGUUCUCAGUGAGAGCAGGAUUCUGUCUGUAGGGGACGCGCACUGACCACAGACCGGUCGUGCACCUGGGACCAGUGAUCCCUGUCUGAUAUCUGAGGCCUCAGCCCACCAGGAAAGGAAGGCAACCGCCUAUUCUGGAUCUCUACCCGUGGCCACGGCCCUUACACACCUGUUACCUGUGGCAUCAACCCGCAAAACCCCUGCUGCGGGUGAGGAAGUACAGACCAGUGCAGAGAGAAGGCUAACACCAAAAUCCCCUUGAGAACAAGAUAAACACGGCCAUCCCAGCGCCGCCACCAACACCCCCCGCAUCUCUCCACCCGGUUCAGGUUCUUUGACCAAGAGAAGGAGCCGUCAGUUACUGGUGAGCCAACAUACAUCUUUGCUUUUUCUCUGUCUGUCUCUGUCUGUCUGUCUGUCUCUCUCUCUGUCUCUGACUUUGUCCCUCUCUCUUUCUGUGUCUAUCUCUCUCUGUCUCUGUUCCGUCCCUCUCGC
ensembl:lncRNA